UUGAAAUCUUGUUUGUCCGUCCCCAUGCCGCGAUCUCUCUGUGUCACGUCUUGCCUCGUUUCCACUUGAGGUUUACUUGAGAUUUUCCGCUCCUUUGAUUGUUGGGUGUUGAACUCUGUUUAGUUUGCAGUUUUUGGUGUCACAGUUCUGAGGACCCAGGUUCGAUCCCGGCCCCACCUGUGUGGAGUUUGCAUGUUCUCCCUGUGCCUGCGUGGAUUUUCUCCGGGCAUUCCAGUUUCCUCCCACAUCCCUAAAACAUUAAAUGGAGACUCUAAAUUGCCCCUAGGUGUGAUUGUGAGUCUGGCUGUUUGUCUCAAUGUGCCCUGCAAUUGGCUGGCAACCGGUUCUGGGUGUACCCUGCCUCCUGCCCGUUGACAGCUGGGAUAGGCUCCAGCCCUCCCCGGGACCCUUGCGAGGAUAAGCGGCAAAGAAAAUGGAUGGAUGGAUGGACAAAUUUCCCCUAGGCGUGAUUAUGUUGUCUUUGAAGCAAUUAAUGACAGGAGACCAGCGAUCAAGAGUGAUCUGAAGACCAAGAGCGGGAAGUGAAGAGAAGAGCGGAGACAAGAAGUUCAUUUCAGGGCCGACUAAUUCCUCCAUUACAGGUGCAGCGUGACGCAGCCGAGAAACACAGAUAGGAAGGAUGACGCUGCUGAGACAGUCCGAGGGGGGAAAGGGAGUCUGGGGUAAGCUCUCCCUGAAAGAAAACAUGAGAAGCACGGUCACCAGAAGGGGUCUCAGAGUUGAGCCACUGCUCUACCACGUCAAGACAGGUGAUACGGUGGGCCUGGCAUUUAGUUUGGAUCCCUCCAGAAGGCAUCACUGCAAAGUUUUCCCUUCUUCACCGCCCCAGGGACGACGCAGAACACCCUGG